UACGGAGGGUGCAAGCGUUAAUCGGAAUUACUGGGCGUAGAGCGCGCGUAGGUGGCUUGAUAAGCCGGUUGUGAAAGCCCCGGGCUCAACCUGGGAACGGCAUCCGGAACUGUCAAGCUAGAGUGCAGGAGAGGAAGGUAGAAUUCCUGGUGUAGGGGUGAAAUCCGUAGAGAUCAGGAGGAACACCGGUGGCGAAGGCGACGAGCUGGAUUAGUACUGACACUGAGGUGCGAAAGCGUGGGGAGCAAACAGG
rnacentral:misc_RNA from 1 species